CGAGGGGUGCAAGCGUUAUCCGGAUUCACUGGGUUUAAAGGGUGCGUAGGUGGGCAGGUAAGUCAGUGGUGAAAUCUCCGGGCUUAACCCGGAAACUGCCAUUGAUACUAUCUGUCUUGAAUACCCUGGAGGUGAGCGGAAUAUGUCAUGUAGCGGUGAAAUGCUUAGAUAUGACAUAGAACACCCAUUGCGAAGGCAGCUCACUACGGGAAUAUUGACACUGAGGCACGAAAGCGUGGGGAUCAAACAGGAUUAGAUACCCUGGUAGUCCACGCCCUAAACUAUGGAUACUCGACAUCAGCGAUAAACUGUUGGUGUCUGAGCGAAAGCAUUAAGUAUCCCACCUGGGAAGUACGAUCGCAAGAUUG
rnacentral:rRNA from 1 species